rnacentral:rRNA from 1 species
AGAGUUUGAUCAUGGCUCAGAUUGAACGCUGGCGGCAGGCCUAACACAUGCAAGUCGAGCGGUAACACAGGGAGCUUGCUCCUGGGUGACGAGCGGCGGACGGGUGAGUAAUGUAUGGGGAUCUGCCUGAUGGCGGGGGAUAACUACUGGAAACAGGUGCUAAUACCGCAUAGGUCAUCAUUCCACAUGGAAAGAUGACAAAAGACGCUACGGUGUCGCUGUUGGAUGGGCCCGCGCUGCAUUAGUUAGUUGGUGAGGUAACGGCUCACCAAGACCAUGAUGCAUAGCCGACCUGAGAGGGUGACCAGCCACACUGGAACUGAGACACGGUCCAGACUCCUACGGGAGGCAGCAGUGGGGAAUAUUGCACAAUGGGCGCAAGCCUGAUGCAGCCAUGCCGCGUGUAUGAAGAAGGCCUUCGGGUUGUAAAGUACUUUCAGCGAGGAGGAAGGCGUUGUGGUUAAUAACCGCAGCGAUUGACGUUACUCGCAGAAGAAGCACCGGCUAACUCCGUGCCAGCCGCCGCGGUAAUUC